CUUGAAUCUGCCUGGAGUCCAUCUUUGUAUUUAGUGUUAGGCAGGGAUCCAGUACUUUGGGUUGCAUGGACUCGGCCAGUUUUCUCAAGGAUGUCUACCAAAUAAUGGGCCCUUCGCCCCAUCGAUUCGUGGCGCUUCCUUAUAAGCUUCCCAGCAUCUCUGAGCCAGAAGAACCGAGAAAGACCAACACCUUGAUUGGAGAAGUGAGUACCUGACAGGCGCUCCACCAACAUUGUUUGGAACAAAACUUGAGUGGGUGAAAGAUGAAAAAUGUGUGUGUAAAACAUGCAGAAGAAAAGACAGCCAACGUUGGAAUGAACUGAGCAACGAGAUAAAUAAAGUGGUAAAGUGUAAAAUAACUAUCCGUGAGUCCAUAUUGAUAUAAAUGAAUGACUGAAUAAAUUUACAGAUAAGUGAA